GACGAACGCUGGCGGCGCGCUUAACACAUGCAAGUCGAACGGAAAGGCCUGCUUUCCCUUGUGGAUUGCGGGUACUCGAGUGGCGAACGGGUGAGUAACACGUGAGUGAUCUGCCCCCAACUUGGGUAUAAGCCUGGGAAACUGGGUCUAAUUCCCGAUAGGACUGCAGGGUGGUGCCUGUGGUGGAAAACGAUUUUCUAGUGGUUGGGGAUGAGCUCGCGGCCUAUCAGCUUGUUGGUGGGGUAAUGGCCUACCAAGGCGGCGACGGGUAGCCGGCCUGGGAGGGUGGACGGCCACAUUGGGACGGAGAUACGGCCCAGACUCCUACGGGAGGCAGCAGUGGGGAAUAUUGCACAAUGGGCGGAAGCCUGAUGCAGCGACGCCGCGUGGGGGAUGACGGCCUUCGGGUUGUAAACUCCUUUCGACCGCGAGGAAGCCACCUGGUGGGAAGGGUGGUGACGGUAGUGGUAGAAGAAGCACCGGCUAACUACGG
rnacentral:rRNA from 1 species